rnacentral:rRNA from 1 species
AGCCCUAAGCGGGUGGUAAACUCCAUCUAAGGCUAAAUAUGACCACGAGACCGAUAGCGAACAAGUACCGUGAGGGAAAGUUGAAAAGCACUUUGAAGAGAGAGUUCAAGAGUACGUGAAACCGUUUAGGGGUAAACCUGAGAAACCCGAAAGGUCGAAGGGAGAAAUUCAUUCGCGUUUCGCCGUAGGCGUGAGACGGUCGAGUGACGGAGAGCGUUCACGCGUAUCUCCGCGCCUUCCGUUUUUCGAUCCGGCGGCGAACGCGUGCACUUUUCUCCUGGUAGGACGUCGCGAUCCGUUGAGUGUCGGUCUACGGUUCACGGUGGAGCCCGAAUGUGUGAGUUUUCUCAUCACGUUCGGACCCGUGUUUAUUUCCCGACCGACUCGCUCGACGGUAUACGAAUGGUCAAAGGGCGCUAAUUAUUAGCGUUCGGCUUAUGGCAAGCGCGUUAGAUGCGUCGGUGAUCGGACCUAGUGCCGAUUCUGACCUCUAACGACUGUUGGCCGUAAAGUUCUCGAACAGACCCUGAGUUUUUACACUAAGACCGAUCUGCGACGCUAUAGCUUUGGGUACUUUCAG